rnacentral:tRNA from 1 species
GCCCGGGUGGCGUAAUGGUAGCCGCGCACGACUCAAAAUCGUGUCUCGAAAGGGGUGUGAGUUCGAGUCUCACCCCGGGCACAA